CCUACGGGAGGCAGCAGUGGGGAAUAUUGCACAAUGGGGGAAACCCUGAUGCAGCGACGCCGCGUGAGUGAAGAAGUAUUUCGGUAUGUAAAGCUCUAUCAGCAGGGAAGAAAAUGACGGUACCUGACUACGACGCCCCGGCUAACUACGUUCCAGCGGCCGCGGUACUACGUAGGGGGCAAGCGUUAUCCGGAUUUACUGGGUGUAAAGGGAGCGUAGACGGCCAGACAAGUCAGAAGUGAAAGCCCAGGGCUCAACCCUGGGACUGCUUUUGAAACUGCCGGGCUGGAGUGCAGGAGAGGUAAGCGGAAUUCCUAGUGUAGCGGUGAAAUGCGUAGAUAUUAGGAGGAACACCAGUGGCGAAGGCGGCUUACUGGACUGUAACUGACGUUGAGGCUCGAAAGCGUGGGGAGCAAACAGGAUUAGAUACCCUUGUAGUC
rnacentral:rRNA from 1 species